GAUAACAUUGUAGUUCUCCAUCAUGCACAAGGACUCACCUCGUUACCUCUUUAUCCCCCACACACACAGAAAUGGUCCCUGGAUCAGUGAUUAGACUUUGCAGUGGUUUGUUUUUUGCAGAAGAUGUAACUUUGUUUUAACUAUAAGCUCAUAAUGAAUACAUUACAGAACCAGUGAUGAAAACAAUAGUUAAAAAUAGUAUUUUUUGUAUUGAUAAAGCAUUGUGUUCUCUUUUUCAAGCUUCAUACAGUAAACUUUACUUGUUCUCAUCAGGAGUUUUAGUAAAGGAGAUAUUCAUACACAGUCUUCCCCUAGUUCCAGUCAUGAAGUGAAUUCAUGAUGUUUUGUCAAAGAUAGCAGGUGUUUGUUUUCCUGAACACUUUCUCUGUCUUCCAUUGUUCGGACAAUCAGUGUUUAUUUGAUGCUGUGCUGAUAGAGUUUUAUAGAUGAUAUUGCACACUUGACAUGCAUGUCUUCAUGAUGUUAUUUUGUGAGUUUGAAACAUUUACAUUGUGUUGUAUAACAUUUUGGUCAAUUUAAUUUUUAAGAAAAUUGAUCUUUUUCCAGUGUUCUCUGAAAGACAUACUGUAUUUACUGUUUUGUUUUUUAAUAAAAGCAUUUUCAUUUGCAUACUGAAAA